rnacentral:rRNA from 1 species
UACGUAGGGGGCUAGCGUUGUCCGGAAUCAUUGGGCGUAAAGAGCGUGUAGGCGGCCAGAUAAGUCCGCUGUGAAAUCUCGAGGCUCAACUUCGAGCUGUCGGUGGAAACUGUCUGGCUAGAGUCCGGAAGGGGAGAAUGGAAUUCCUGGUGUAGCGGUGAAAUGCGCAGAUAUCAGGAAGAACACCCGUGGCGAAGGCGGUUCUCUGGGACGGUACUGACGCUGAGACGCGAAAGCGUGGGGAGCGAACAGG